GACGAACGCUGGCGGCGUGCCUAAUACAUGCAAGUCGUGCGGACCUUUUAAAAGCUUGCUUUUAAAAGGUUAGCGGCGGACGGGUGAGUAACACGUGAGCAACCUGCCUGUAAGACUGGGAUAACGCCGGGAAACCGGGGCUAAUACCGGAUCGUUUUUUCCUCCGCAUGGAGGAAAAAGGAAAGGCGGCUUCGGCUGCCACUUACAGAUGGGCCCGCGGCGCAUUAGCUAGUUGGCGGGGUAAUGGCCCACCAAGGCAACGAUGCGUAGCCGACCUGAGAGGGUGAUCGGCCACAUUGGGACUGAGACACGGCCCAAACUCCUACGGGAGGCAGCAGUAGGGAAUCUUCCGCAAUGGAUGAAAGUCUGACGGAGCAACGCCGCGUGAGUGAAGAAGGCCUUCGGGUCGUAAAACUCUGUUGCCGGGGAAGAACAAGUGCCGUUCGAACAGGGCGGCGCCUUGACGGUACCCGGCCAGAAAGCCACGGCUAACUACGUGCCAGCCGCCGCAGUAA
rnacentral:rRNA from 1 species